GACGAACGCUGGCGGCGCGCUUAACACAUGCAAGUCGACGAGCGGCGGACGGGUGAGUAACACGUGAGUAACCUGCCUUGACAUUGGGAUAGCCUCGGGAAACCGGGAUUAAUACCAAAUGGUCUAAGAUGGACUCGCGUCCCAUCAGCUUGUUGGUGGGGUGAUGGCCUACCAAGGCGGUGACGGGUAGCCGGCCUGAGAGGGUGACCGGCCACAUUGGGACUGAGAUACGGCCCAGACGCCUACGGGAGGCAGCAGUGGGGAUAUUGCACAAUGGGCGAAAGCCUGAUGCAGCGACGCCGCGUGGGGGAUGAAGGCUUUCGGGUUGUAAACCUCUUUCGCUAUCGAACGGGUAGGUGGAGAAGAAGCGCCGGCUAACUACGUGCCAGCAGCCGCGGUAAUUC
rnacentral:rRNA from 1 species